UAAAUCUGUUACAAUUAAAACCGCCGUCCCAAUCGGUCGUUGUCGCCAUCUUCAUCGGUCGUCGUCGCCAUAUUCCAUCGUCCCUGUCGGGCUUGCCGCCCCGAUGGAACGAGUUGUUUACCCGUCGCUUAGCCUUACAUUAUCGUCUUCUUUUGUUUACUUUACGAAAAACUUAACUUCUUCUCUCUUUCUCUUCUCCUCCCUCUUUAAGCAAGGAAGUGUCACUGUUUUCUCUCGUUUUGUGGGACGGAACUUUCCCACACUUUUUAAAACGGAACUAACUCGUAGUUCCUCGUCAUUUACGAUGACCAAUUAUUAUCUAUUCUUUUAAUCUUUAACAUAUUAAUCUAUUU
rnacentral:lncRNA from 1 species